GAUGAACGCUAGCUACAGGCUUAACACAUGCAAGUCGAGGGGAAACGACAUCGAAAGCUUGCUUUUGAUGGGCGUCGACCGGCGCACGGGUGAGUAACGCGUAUCCAACCUGCCCACCACUUGGGGAUAACCUUGCGAAAGUAAGACUAAUACCCAAUGAUAUCCCACGAAGGCAUCCGAAUGGGAUUAAAGAUUUAUCGGUGAUGGAUGGGGAUGCGUCUGAUUAGCUUGUUGGCGGGGUAACGGCCCACCAAGGCAACGAUCAGUAGGGGUUCUGAGAGGAAGGUCCCCCACAUUGGAACUGAGACACGGUCCAAACUCCUACGGGAGGCAGCAGUGAGGAAUAUUGGUCAAUGGGCGAGAGCCUGAACCAGCCAAGUAGCGUGCAGGAUGACGGCCCUAUGGGUUGUAAACUGCUUUUAUAAGGGAAUAAAGUGGGUCACGUGUGACUUUUUGCAUGUACCUUAUGAAUAAGGACCGGCUAAUUCCGUG
rnacentral:rRNA from 1 species